GACGAACGCUGGCGGCGUGCCUAAUACAUGCAAGUCGAACGCAGUGGGGAUGGGUGAUUAACACGUGGGUAACCUCCCAUCAGAGGGGAUAACACUUGGAAACAGGUGCUAAACUGACAUUGAAGGAUGGACCCGCGGUGCAUUAGUUAGCGGGUGGGGUAACGACUCAACAAGGCCACGAUGCAUAGCCGACCUGAGAGGGUGAUCGGCCACACAGGGACUGAGACACGGCCCAGACUCCUACGGGAGGCAGCAGUAGGGAAUCUUCGGCAAUGGACGAAAGUCUGACCGAGCAACGCCGCGUGAGUGAAGAAGGUUGUCGGAUCGUAAAACUCUGUUGUUAGAGAAGCGGUAUCUAACCAGAAAGCCACGGCUAACUACGUGCCAGCAGCCGCGGUAAUUC
rnacentral:rRNA from 1 species